rnacentral:rRNA from 1 species
GAUGAACGCUGACGGAAUGCUUAACACAUGCAAGUCAAACGCUGGCUGACGGGCGAGUAACGCGUAAAGAACUUACCUCACAGUUAGGGACAACAUUUGGAAGCGAAUGCUCAUACCUAAACCUUUGAGAGAGCUUUGCGUCCCAUUAGCUACUUGGAGAGGUAACGGCUCACGAAGGAGAGGAUGACUAGCCGGCCUGUGAGGGUGAUCGGCCACAGGGGGACUGAGAUGCGGGCCGUACUCAUAAGGGAGGCAGGGGUGGGGAAUAUUGGACGAUGGACCAAAGUAUGAUCAAGCAAUUCGGGUUGUACGAUGAAUUUUUCGGAAUGUAAAGUGUUUUGAGUUGGGCAGCGUUACCAACAGAAGAAGUGACGGCUAAAUACGUGCCAGCAGCCGCGGUAAUAC